CUGUAAAUGGAAGGUCAGUUAGGUGCAAAACACACAGUCAGUAUUAUAUUACGUAUUAUGAAAAUAUUGAAAUACAGAGGCAAAGUGAAAACAAGAAGAGUACGAAACCCCUUUGUGUUCAACUGUAAGAGAGCUGGUGACUGCUGCUUUUGGCAGGCGUGAGGGGGCAGCGGACGGGCAGUGUUGGCGGAGGCCAAGCUGAGCACUGGGCACAUAAGGAACACGAGUGUGUCAGGAACGGGGAGAGAGCAGAGCAAGUCCAAGCAGAGGCAGAACAAGGAAUGAGGCCAUGCCAGCUGAGAGCCCGAGAUGCUUAUCUCUAAAGGAUGCUUACAGGCCAUUGUAAAUCUUGUGCGGAUCAAUAGUCCUCUCCAGAGGAUACUCCAUUGGUUGAAAGAAGUACAAUAAAAAGACUUUGGGUGAGAGCUGAAACCUCUAUGGGGCCUCUUCAGUAACAGCAGAUGUCACUAAACUCUUCAGGAAGCAGUUUUUGAAAAAUAUGUUACUAGAGGAUACUCACUGACUUCUGAGGACCUUGGAUGUGUUUGACUUGGCUCUGGGGAAUACCCUCCAUUCUUCCAAAUAGUCCACCUGUUUGCCUUGGCCUUACAUUUCACCAUGAGGGGGUGAAUACAUGGAAGAAUCAGACAUUAAGUGAGAUGCCCACAGUCACUCCACGAGUACAAAAUGGACCCCAGGUAUGAACUCUUCUUUUCUGACUACUGCGUUCUUCUCUGUUCUUUGUACCCCAUCACAUUGCCUCCACAAAAUUAUCCUACCCUGAAAUUGAAAAGUGUUGGGAUUGUAUUCAUUGCACCACAUUUCCUAGGGGCUAACACUCCCUCCUUUGUGAAUAUGGUGUAAACAGUGACUCAGAGUUAGGCUAAUGAUGUGGGACAUACAAGUUUCCUGUUGGCUGACAGUAACUCUGGUGGCCUUCUUUAACUGUUUUCUGGUAACCUAGAAAUAGUACCUCUGCAUUAAAAUCAAGGACAAGGGAAUGCCUGCAACUUGCUGGCACAGGUUUUAGAGGUGAAUCUCCAAGAAGGCUGGUGCCUGAAGGUCCAUUAAGGCAAGGGCAAUACAGCUUUAUAUCCACACCUUUUGUAUGUCAGACAUAUGGAAGGUGAUGGGCUUGUGAAAAGGGGGAAUAAGUUUAAAUCUGCUGGGAAAAAGGAAAUGAAGUAAAGCCACUUUAUGAGAGAUUCCUGAAAAAUAUUUGAUAAAUACUCGAUGAUAACUAAGUGCUAGAACAAUCUAUUUUACAAUUCACACAAUCAUUAUGUAUGAAUUGUUUUGUUUGUUUUAAAUGUAAUUAAUUCUGAACAAAACCUCUGCACUCUAAUGAUACUGUCACAUGGCAGCCCCAGUGGCUGUGCUACAAGUCCUCUCUUAUCAACAUGAGGUUCUCAGUCCUCAAGAAAGACGGAUACAGUCAUUCCAGACAUUCUCAUAUAGACAUUUUUGUCUUUUACAAGGGUUGCAAUUUCGAUGCUAACUCAAAGAAUCUGCUUAUAAGGGAGAAUGCAUCCCAUUAUUCAUGGUGGAAAUUUGCUUCAUUAAGAGCAGUGAUUGAUCUUAACUUGGGGAGGGGAGAAGAAAAUUCUUCUUAAAAUCUCCUGGAUGUGAGUAUGUGCAUUUAUUUGGGGAGUGGGAAGUUUUAAACACUGUAAGCCUUUACCUAUAAGAGAUUCUGAUCACCUCCCUCAGUGGUUUUCAAUACAUCUACCCUAUACCUCAUCCUGUGACUUUUAGGACAAUUUCCUUCAUAACUUUUUUGGACAAUCAUAUCCUAUAGACAAUGGCAAUGCCACCACCUACUUAAGCAAAUGUCUUUAAAAAUCCUAUUUAAACAAAAAACAAAACUAGAAAACUGGGUUAACUGAUAGGCCACAUUAGAAUUUUAGAAAAAAAAUUCUCUUAGGUUUCCUCAAUGUUCAUGAUAGCCUUAUUUUUCAAAAAGUAGCACAGUAUAUUAGUAUACUGAAAAAGCAGUGAUCUAAUUCAGACCAGAAACCUGGGUUCUAGUUGCUUUCUCUGCUGCAAACAGCGUUAUGUGUUUGGGAAGGUGAUGACUCCUUUGGGCUUCAGAUGAAGUAGACAAAAGCCAAGACCUUGUCCAGUUCAAAAAAACAUUAGGCUAUUAAACCUAGAGAAUAAACGAACUACACUGGGACCUUAAAAUAUCAUGCCUUUGAUUGCCCUCCUUUUCUAUUAAUAAUUCACUGGAUCAAGAACAUAAAAUACUAUUUCCUAUCAUCUUGAUACUUCUUCUGUGAUUUAUUAUUCUCUGAAACAUAACUAGUAACCCACGUGGAGUUUCUGUUCUAAAAGGCAAGUUGAACCACAGGAAUGCAUUCCUGAUUGUCCUUGCUGGAUAGCCUGGCAAGAAAACAGGAUUCCCUUGGAAAACCAGUGGUUUUCAUAGUUUAGCAGGAUCACAAUCACACAGAUUGCUGGGCCCCACCCCCAGAGUUGCUGAUCUGGCAGAUCUGGAGUAUAGGGUCUGAGAGUUGGUACUUCUAGCAAGUUCCCUGGAGAUGUUGAUGCUGCUGGUCCUGAGACCACACUUGGAGAACGGCCUUUAACAGAACAUCAUAUGCUCCUCAUGGAGGCAGUGAUCUAUUGAAUCUCUCCAUGUCAACCUUGUCCCAGGUCACAGCAUGUGGUGGCAGUCCUUGAGAUGAUGCCAUGACCUCUUAUUUCUGAUUCCAGAAGAUUCCAUUUUCCAAUAGUGAUCACCACACAGAAGAGGAAGACAUCAACCCAGAAAAUAGAGAAGAGGGCAAACUGUCAUACAGUCACUCAAUUUCCCCACCUUUCCUCUCUUUAUGACUCAAAACUACAGAUUGUCCAGUUUAUAUAAUCAGCCUAAAAUAAUAAAAAGAUUGAUAUAUUUUGGAUGGUGCUUCAUCAGUGUUUAGCAGAAUCCAAUGGAGAAAGAUCACUAAUCAGAGUUCAAAUAUGUAUUAAAGUGUCACCUUUUCUCUUGCGAGUAGGUGAUAUUGAGUAUUUUCUAUUUACCAUAAAAUGUGCUUCUGACUUCACAUGUACUAGUUCGUGUGACCUCUGAUAAAAUCCUAUCAGAUCAGUAUUAUAUUUAUCCCCAUUUUGUAGAUGGGGAAAACAAAACUUAGAGAGGCAAAAUAACUUGCCUGAGGUUGUUUAAAAAAGAAGUGGUGGAACUAGGAGUGGCUACACUGAACUGCCUCCAGCUCUGUGAUCCUGAAAAACACCAAAAACCCUCUUCACUGUUUAUAUUCUGUAAAAUGGCCCUAUCUCCCAGGGAUAAUGUGUGAAUAAGAUAAUAGACUUAUUGAAUGCACAAAGAAAUGAUGUGCUGUGGCUACAAGUACUACUCUGAACUAUUUUAGAUGUUAUUAUCCUUUUUUACAACAAAUCAAAUGCAACAAUCUAUAAAUUGUUAUUAUCUGCUUUACUCUCCUUGCAUUUCUGUUCCUUAAAGAAUUAUUUUUAUGUUCUUGUCCUUGAAAUGGUCAUGCAUUCUUUUCUCCUGCUGACUUUCAAGGAACUACUCAAAAUUAUUUGAAUUUUAACGGGUAACCCUUUAAGUAGAUAUCCUGGUGUCACCAGAGAUUAAUGGAAAGACAGAUACCGUGGGCCUGGAUCUCCAGCUCUAUCUAGCUCUGCUGCUCUCUGUGGUCCAGGUAGUCACUGUUGGCUGCAUUUAUAUCUGAUGGGGUUGGGCUUGAUCAGAGGUGCUCAAAUUUUUCUUCACUACCAUACAGAGUGGAUGAUUUUCACAUUCACAAAACAAGAAUUGGGUGAAACCCAUGAAUAUUUUACAAGGAUGCAAAACAAAAUAUUGUAGACUUUUUUUUUCUCAUUGCAACAGCUAUAAUAAUUAACAGAAUGUUGGUUAUCUUACAGAUUGUGCCAUCCAUAAGACAGACUAAGGGUUCUGAGCAAUCGACAGCAAGCUGGUUCUAACUUUACCUUUUUAUUUCCAGCCAAGAAAGCAAUUCAGAAUGCAAGUGGGUAAGCAUGAUGACAUCGUCAUAGGAAUUACCUGGAGUCUAGUCUCAUUUUUUUUUUAAAAAACAAAUCAUUUCCAAAAGGCAGCACAUUGUUAUUAGUAAUAAAUUAUUGGCGAUAGCACUCAUACUUGAUCACCACUUUGUGGGUGAGAAUCACAGGACUAGAUGAUUUUCACAUCCCUUCCCACACAAACAUCUCAUUUAUGGUCUUGGACUUUUCUCCAACAGACCUUCAUUAUAGUCUUUCUGGAGUUAUGGCUUUGAAGAUGAGUUACACUGUGCAAUUACUUCUAAGUUUUUAUCCAGUUUGCUAAUCCCCCCCAAAAAAAGUGCAGUAAUCAUAUUUUGAUAAAACUUAAAAAUAGCCCUGAGAAGAAGACAAAAUUGCUGGACUCCAUCAUUUCUUCUGCAGAAUCCCAAGGGAGCAUGGGAAAUGCCAGGCUGCAUGGUGCCUGCCGGCUUGUGGAGAUUAUUGUCAUUUGAAGCAAAGAUGGCCUCAGCCCUGGGGUAGAAAAGACAAUAGAGCCCACUGAUUGGUAGAUGCCUGAAUCCUUCAAAUGGGGAAAUCUUUCAGGUUAAAUUGUUUACUUCCAUUUUUGCAUUCAGCAUUUCCUCCUGUUUAUUUCUUUAUUAUUUCCUUUGGGAUUCUUAAAAUCCUGCCUGGGGACUUUUUAGAAAUUAUUUGUAAUCUCCAUAAGGACAAUGCAAUAUUUGUGUUACAAUUUCCUUUUUGGGCAUUUUAAUCAUUUAGGAUUUAUCCUAUUUAUCCUGGCACAAAGGCUUCAAAAACAGGAUAUUCUCCUCAAGUUUUCUUUUAGCCAUAAUAUGGCAAAUCACAAGCUUUUAUAAUUUUUUUAUAUGGAAGUCUUGGAAUUUCCACAGCUUACAUUCUGAGCCAACAAAAAUAUACAGAGACAGAAAGCAGGGAAUUUUUGAAUUCACUUGAUUUACUUCACAGCAUUACUGUUUUUGCAGAUAUAUGUGCUUAACAGGGCAAUUAAUUUUAAGUCUGAUUUGGAAAUAGAAAGUUUGUUUUUGUAAACUCAGAGGGAAAAAAUGGUAAAAAUAGUUUGCAUCUGAUGAUACCGUAUCCCAGGAAAGGGUGAUGACUAAGUUAACUACAAGACUUUCCUGGACAACCAUUGGUACAGGAAGACCCAAAAAGGUCUGGGGUUGAGCUGAAUGGAGACUAUUUUGAAAGAAGGCAGUGUGCUACAGCGGAAAGAACACACAACGUAGAACCAGGAAACUUAAUUUCUACUCCUAGUUUUCCUAUUACCUGUGUACCUUUGAGCAGGUCAAUUAACCUCUCUGACCCUCAAUUUCCUCCUCUUUCUAAUGGAGAUUUUUAAAAAACCCUGCCCUACCUACUUCCUAGGAUUGUUAGGAGGCUUACAUAAAAUAAAAUAUCUUAAAGAAUUUUUAAAAUUAUAAAGUACAUUACUUAUGUGAGAUAUCUUUAUAACAUCUUUCUGUAAUUCCAUUAGUCCUUGAAUACCUAAUGUUUAAAUCACAUAGGAUGGCAAGAUUAAUUGGGAUAUUUUUCCUUGUUAGGGCAGGCCAUAGUGUUUAUAUUAGUAGUAUUUGUUUAAACCUUAAUAAGUUUAUCUAACUAUCUCUUUGGAGCAGGUUCAGGAAAUAUGAAUGAAUCUGCUAUAAUAUAUACGAGGAGCCUACUGAAUUCCUAUUAUUCCUGUUAAGACCACCCUCCUCAGUUCUGCUGUUGUUCCAAAGCUCAACGAGCUCCUGAAAAGACCACCCCUCCACUGCCCAUCUUACUGCUGUGAAUUGACUAUGAAGCUAGACCCAGAAGACGGUGAUUGUUAGGUCCGCUCCCAGACCUUCCUCUAACAGACCAUCAGGAAUAACUCCAUCUUUCCUUACGUCCCUCUUGACAAGUCCAAGCUUCUGGACUCAUUAUUAAUAUGUCUCUGUACAUUUCAUACUCUGAGCCAAUUCUGGGUUUCCCGUGAAUUUCACUGUGUCCUAUGGAAUUUAAUAUUAGUCAUUUGCAAAAUGAUAUUGUCCCUGAUGUCAUCUACCUUCAGAAAGCCUUUCUUUCAUUUUUCACUCUAAUGGAAGCCUGGCUUGGCUCGAUAAGACUUCACUGGAGCCUUAUCAGAUGGUGAUCCCAUAGGCCACAGAGGCUGGAGAUUGGAUUAAAGACCCUCCUUCUUCUUGUUGCCAUUUCCAAAACAUUUCUCCUUUGCACUACUGCUCAAAGACUGUCCCCUUUAACCUCAAUGCCUUCUAGUGACUCUACUUCAUUCUUUGAUGAUUUUGGCACCUGGUUCAUUCUCUUCCUCUCCACCAUGCUAAUUUUUAUUCUUAGUAGCUUGAAUACUCACAUGGACCUGACCUCUGGGUUCCUUGAAUUCUUCAUUUGUAAUAGUUGUUGCCUCAACCCAAUGUUAGUCAUUCCCUCCCACGGCCAUUCUCAAAAACUUGACGUCACCCAUAAUAUCCUUAACUCUGAAAUCAUGAUAUCAAGAUUCCAUUUUCUGACCACCAUCUCCUCAUUUUUUCCAAUGUAUUUACUAUACUAUGAUCCCAAUUUAGCAGACUCUGUCUUAUUUUCCCUAUACACCAGGUUUUAGACUCACAUGCAACUCCUGUGGCCUCUUUUCCUCACCUGGCAAACUCCCAACUUUGCUUAAUCCAAAAUUACAUUGCACUGAACAUGCACACCUGUAACUAAACCUGACUAGGGCAAAACCAGUGAGUCUUUCAGGUGUGUGACUUCUUAAGAUAUUUAUUUCAAAUGAGCUAUAUUCUAUCUUUCAGGCACUAACAAUGCCCCCAACCCCUUUCUAUUAAUAGGCUGGGGAGAAGAAUGUUCUGAAAGAAACUCACCAUCUUCUUGUUCAAAUGUUUUGUUCUUCCACCUGGUAUUUGCCUUGCUUUCCUCUCCUUUCUAACUUACUUUCGCUCAGAUAGUUCAUUUGUUCUUUGCAUUUCUUUGUUCAGUUCCAGUAGAAUGUAAACUCCAUGAAAACAGAGAUGUUGUUUGCUUUGUCACCACUGUAUUCCUUAGCACCUAGCUCAGUGGUUGGCACAUAGGAGGUACUCAAUAAAUAUUCAUUUUUGUCACCAAUCUUAGAGAAUAAAUAGACAUGUCAAAGUCCAGUGGCUCAGAUAGAAACACUGGAGUAUACAAAGAACCUAGAGGCUGCAGCCAACAGCGGAAAGCAGUGACCUAAAGAUAUGAGGUAAGAUUUCCAUGAAGUUCAUACAAAGAAUAUGUGCAUUACAAGAGGACCUGUGUUAGUUGGCUUGGAGUGAUAAUACCUGGCCUCAUGGAUAUUUGUCCAUGGUUCUUCAGCUACUCGUUAAUAACUAAUAAAUCAUACUGAUGAGGAGAAAUGACUUUAGAGACCAUCUAAUGUGCAGCCUUCUGCUUUGCAGGUAAGGAAAUUUGAAUCCUAGAAGUGAAGAGUCUUGUGUCAGAUUAUCCUUUUAUUUACAGAAUAGAGAUAAGAACGCAGGUUUCUUUACUUCUUUGUCUUUUUUCUUAAUGAUAUCCUGAAAAUGUCAAAAUGUCUUAAGCAGUUUAACAGUACAAUGCUGAGUUGCAGUUCUUGAAAGGCCUCUGGCUUCCCAAAGGAAAUCUUAUGUGUUGCCUAUGAAAAUUGGAACUUUAAUUUAGCAUGUAAAUAAAAAGUCCCCACAUUUUCAAGGGAUAUUUCCAAAGAUCUUAUGCCUUGGGGAAAAAAUGUCUAUGCUAGAGUCCAAUGGCAGAAAUUUUAUUUUUAACUUGUUUUAGAUACCAAACUCUGAUCAUUGUGCAUUAUGAGAUCAGUCCCAAAUUACAUGAGCCAUUUAUAAAUAAAUAUAAUACAUUCGUCUAGAGUAAUUUUCUCUCAUGGUAUUUGUUCCCCCCUUUUUUUCCCUCAUGUAUUUACUUGUCCCUAUCUAAAAGCUCAUAAAAUGUCCUCUCCAAGUCUCCUCUCAAUAAUGUAAACAGAUGUUUUGCAAUCAUUUUAGAAUGGGAGAGGACCUGAAUAUUUGCAUCUCCUCAUUUCCUGGUGUUGCUUGUGUUGCACAUGAAUAAUGGAGUUAGACUCAUACGGGGCCAGGAGGUGUGGUGGGAUGGGGCUCAUGGGGCUGUCUUCCAAGGAAAUCCCACUUUGGCUGACCUGAGACAGUUACAAGAACAAGGACAGGAGGUAUGUUUUGGUGUUCAGAGGCUUCAUUAGUUUGCCUUCUAAGCUCCACCAGCUCCAACAAGGGGUAAAGGGAAUUCCUCUUUUGGAGUUACAGUCUGAGGCCUCUAGAGUGAAUCUGGACAAGGCAUUUCCAUACUGUCUGCUCAUUUCUUUUCUUCUUGGACACCUGCAGCAGAUUCUAAAUGCUCAGCAUAAGUUGUCCCACUAUUUAAAACUCAAACAUGGCCCUGAAGGUGGUGGUAAGAAGCUUAUAGUCAUCAAGUUGAGGUGAAGUGGGUGCAGCCUCCUGGGUCACUUGUAAUAUGCACAGUAUCAGAUUUGAGUUAGGUCUCAUGGGCUUCUGGGUCCUCUACAUCUGUGGUUCCCAAGCCCCAGGCCAUGGACCGGUACCAGUCGAUGGCCUUUUAGGAACUAGCCUGCACAGCAGGAGGUGAGCAGCAUUUAAGUAAGCAAAGCUUCAUCUGUAUUUAUAGCCACUCCCUGUCGCUCACAAACCACCUGAGUUCCGCCUCCUGUCAAAUUCUGCACUAUGGUACUUGGGGCAGACAGAGCAUCAGAUCAGGUAAUACGUAAAAAGAAGCAAGACUUCUAUACCCAAAGAGGUGAACUAUGUUGAGAAAGUAAAGCUGAUGCUGUAAAUAGUAAGUAGUAAACAAUUUCAAGGCAAGUUGCUUUUUAAGAAGGCCAGAAAUGGGGAUUAGCAAAGAGCAUGGAAGGUCAUGCUCCAAACAGGAGACCUGGAAUACAUAAAGGCACCUUCCUACACCUGAAAUGCUAAACUUAAAUACAGGGCACAGUCACAGCAUAAAUGAUUAAAUUCUGAAUUCUGUUAAAUAAAUUUACAAAAGAGAAAGGAGAAAUGAUUUUUAUAUUGGCAGUCUUAUUAUUA